GCGGCGCACCUAGGGUUAGGGGGAUUAGGGUUUUCUGAUAAUUCUUAAGUUUUUGGGCUUAUCGGGCCCUUAGGGUUUUUUAUUAUUGGGCAUUUGGGCUUGUAAUUUUUUGGACUAUGGACUGUUUAUUUUUUUUGGUUUUAUUUAUUUAGUUUUUGGUCCGGGCAAAAUUAGGCUUGUACAGCUGCCCCUCUUUGCUCAUUGUCGUGUAACGAGAGCAGAGCAAAGACUAAGAAAGACCAAUUUUGCCCGUUCUCACCGAGUCUUAACUUGUUUUGGUGCUUCUCUUCUUCAAGUAGCUUCAUUUCAGUCCACUGUGUCUUGUUGCUUCGACCCACUCCACUGCACUUUAGAGAGAUACGGCUUGUAGCUUCAAUCCACUUUGCUGCAACGUCAAGGGGAUGAGAUUCAUGGUUCUAGUCUGCUCCACUACAACGUCAGGGAGAUAAGACUUGUUCCUUCAACUUGCUCCACUGUGACUUAAGGGAGAUAAGGUUUGAUAUAAUAAGAUCCGCUAUCUACAGUCUGCUCCACUACAACUUCAAGGAGAUAAGACUUGUUAUGGUAGAUUUAAUCCAACCUGUUGCAACUUCAGAGGUAUAGGAUUCAACGUUUUAAUCCGCUCCACUGCAACUUCAGGGAGAUAAGAUUGGUAUCUUCAACCUGUGCCACUGUAACUUUAGGAAGAUAAGGUUGGGUAUUUUCAGUCUUCUCCACUGCAACUUCAAGGAGAUAAGGCUUGAUAUGAUCUACUCUACUGCAACUCUAGAGAGAUAAGAUCUGUAAUUUAUAGCUUCAAUCUGUUCCACUAUAACUUUAGGGAAAUAAGAUUGGUAUCUUCAACCUGCUCUACUGUAACUUUAGGGAGAUAAGGUUGGUUAUCUUCAGUCUGCUCCACUGCAACUUUAGGGAGAUAAGACUUAUUAUGGUAGACUUAAUCUGACCUACUGCAACUUCAGAGGUAUAGGAUUCGUUGUUUUAAUCCGCUCCACUGCAACCUCAGGGAGAUAGGAUUAAUAGCUUUAAUCUACUCCACUGCAACUUCAGGGAGAUAAGAUUAGUAUCUUCAACCUGCUCCACUGCAGCUUCAGGGAGAUAAGGUUUGGGGCUUCAAUAUACUCCACUGCAAUUUCAGGGAGAUAAAACUUGCUAUGGUAGAUUUGAUUCGACCUACUGCAACUUCAGAGGUAUAGGAUUUGUUGUCUUUAUCCUGCUCCACUACAACUUCAGGGAGAUAAGGUUUGAUGUGAUCUGCUCUACUGCAACUUCAGAGAGAUAAGAUCUGUAAUUUAUAGCUUGAAUAUGUUCCACUACAACUUUAGGGAAAUAAGAUUCGCUAUAUUCAGUCUGCUCUACUGUAAUUUCAGGGAGAUAAGACCUGUAACUUCAACCUGCUCCACUGCAACUUCAAGGAGAUAAGGUUUGAUGUAAUCUGCUCUAUUGCAACUUCAGAGAGAUAAGAUCUAUAAUUUUUAGCUUUAAUCUGUUCCAUUGCAACUUCAGGGAAAUAAGAUUCGCUAUCUUCAAUUUGCUCCACUGCAACUUCAGGGAGAUAAGACCUGUAACUUCAACCUGCUCCACUGCAACUUCAAGGAGAUAAGGUUUGAUAUGAUUUGCUCUACUGCAACUUCAGAGAGAUAAGUUCUGUAAUUUAUAGCUUCAAUUUGACUUGAGGGAAAUAAGAUUCGCUAUGAUGACUUCAAUCCUUCCCACUGCAACUUCAGGGGUAUAGGAUUUGUGGUUUCACUGAUCUGUUCUCUGGGGAACAUGACCUAGUUUAUGGAUCUAUUUAUGCCUAGUGUUUAGGAUGACAUGAUCAAAAUGAAUCAAAUGCUCCUAACUAGAUGUGUAUGAAUGAUAUUUGCAUGAAUGCAGAAUGUCAUAAGAAUGAUCUCUUUUAAUGUUUGGGUUAUCAUUCCUCAUUGUUCAUCAAGGUUCUAUCACUGACGCAUUCUCAUUCAACUGGUAUCUCUAACAAAAAAACCAAAGAAAUAGUCACAAUUUAGACUAUUCUUUCUCAAAUGCUUCUAACCCUUAAGUUUGGUUAGGUCUAAACAAUAGUCCUAUUUCAGGUCCUCGUAUUAUUUAGAAGCUUUCAGAGCAAUAUGCAGAACUCCUUUUUCUUGAAUAUUAUCAGUCCAUUAAUCGUUAUUUCAAUGAAAAAUGCUUGAAAAAGAUUAUCACAAUGGACAAGAUGAAAUUUUGUUGAGAGCAAAGAUCGAAAUGAAUAAAUUGAUCAAUAUAAAAAAUUUUGCUAGAAUAAAAAAUGAGAAUAAAUUAAUCAAGAUGGCAUAUUUUGCCAAAUACAAAAAUGAAUAAAAUGGAAGUAGGUGCCCCAGAUAUCGUAGCAUGAGCUUCUCUGCCCAAACUUCUUGAGGACCCUUUUGAACUUGAUAUGUGUUUAGAAGUCCUAGAAGACUUUGUUGAUGCCCCAAGAUGUAGCAUCCUUCUUUCUUGCUAAUUCAAGCAUAUUAAGACUAUCGCAUGCCCCACCUUUGAUCAAAUAUUUGAAUUGCUCAUUUCCUGGGUUUUUAAUUCAAAACCCCUUUGGUCUCGAAGCGCCCUUUGCGGGUUUCCGCCCUGGCCUCUCCUUUUUUUUUCUUUUCUUUUUCUUUUUUUUCUAUUUUCUUUUUUUUAAACUGAAGUAUUUCUUGAUUGAAUCUGAAUUCAUAGGAUUAAGAAGAUUCUUUGCCAUCCAUCUCGGUCAAAAUUAGAGCUCUUCUAGGAAAUGCCUUCUUUAACACAUAAGGUCCUUCUUAGUUUGGCAUCCUUUUUCCUCUGAAGUUCUCUUGUACGGAAGGAUGUUUUUCAAAACCAGACCCCAUUCAUGGAAUUCUCUGGGGCAAACCUUUUUUGUCAUAAGCUCGCGUCAUUUGUUUUUGAUACAUUUGACCAUGACGAAUAACCUUGAACCUUUCUCUUUAAUCGGGAUUAGAUCCAAAAAAACUUAGAGAGAAGGAAUCUCGACUUCAAUGGGUAAAACUGCGAUAAGCCAAGGAGGAAGGCAUUGCCCCAGUAGAGUUUUUUUAUUUUUUAUUUUUAUUUUUUUGCCUCCACUACACUGUUCACUUUGGGGUGAUAUGUUGUUAAUCUUGAACAGACUAUAAACUUCUGAUAUCAUAUUGUUGUUCAUAUUUAACGCAUUGUCAGAUAUGAUCCUUUUUGGCACGCCAUACCGACAUAUGAUUUUUUUUCAAAAAUUUACUGACUGUUGACUUUAUGACAUCAGCAUAUGAAGUAGCUUCCACCCACUUAGCGAAGUAAUCGAUGACUACGAAGAUUAAUUAAUGACUGCUAGAAACUUUUUUUAAGAUCGGCCCAAUGACAUUCGUGCCCCAUACAGAGAAAGGCCAUAGCUUCUAUUGAUUCUUUGUGGGGUAGGAUCUUGUUCUAUCAUCCUUAACAAAUCCAGGAGAUAAGCUACAGUCUUAGUUAUCUUCAAAGUCCUGAAGUUCCUCUAGACACAUAUCUUGCUCAAAAGAAGAUUCUGAGUCAGUAGCAGUGUUGUUCAUAUCAUUGAUAUUUGGAGACCUGUUAUAAGGACAAAGGUAGAACCAAAGAGUAAAAGAAUCUAAGAAUAUUUAUCCAUAUGAUUGGUUAUGAAUGUAAUGGAAAGAAUAAAAGAAUAUUUUGGUUAUGAAUGAAAUGAAAAGAAUAAAAGAAUAUUUGCUCAGAAUGAGAAACAAAGAUGCAUUUUUAUUGAAAUAAAGAUAUUGGACAUAAGCCUAUCUCAUAAAAGUAUUCUUAUUGCUCCUAGGCUUAGAGCAAUAAACGUGUUUUGGACAUUACUCUGAAUUAGGUCUAAAGAAUACAUGGAUCUCUUCCACAGUCUUGUUGUUCAAAACACUCCCAAGUCUGUAAGGGCAAAUGUCUGAUAAAUUCUCUUCCCCGAUUUCCUUUUCAGAUACAGUGUUAAUGUUCAACUUCCCCUGCAUUUCUUCAGGGCCUUUGACCUCUUCAAGGAAUUCCAAUUCUUUAUUAUCCAUUCAGCUCUGCACUAGAGCUUUGAAUUCUGUGCACUCGUGGAUUUCAUGGCCUUCUUCAGCGUGGAACUCGCAGUAGCUCCUCAUCCCUUUUGGUCUUUUCUUUGAAUUAUGAAUGAUUAAUCCCAUGUCUAUCAUUUGUUUCAAAACCCAUUUCAGUGGGGUUUUUACUUCUGCAACAUUGGUUUUGGUUCUCUUUCCUCUAUUCUCAAUUAUCGUGUUUAGCCUUGGGUUUGGAUGACUGGUUAACAGAUUUCCUGCCACAUUAGGUCCUGAUGGAUCGUCAAACUUCACGAUGCCCAUCUUGAUGAACCUUUCAACUAACUUUUUAAAUGCAGUGUAGUUUUCAAUUGAGCGUCCUACUAUUCCCGCGUGGUAUACGCAUUAGGCAUUCGUAUCAUACCAUUUCAGGAAUGGAGGUUGCACAAGUUCUUAGUAGAACGGAGCUACUACGUGCGCAUCAAAUAGAUUUUGAUACAACUCUCUGUAUGUCACCGGGAUGGGCGUAAACUUGAGUCUUUCAAUGUUUGGCCUCGAGUUGGAUUCUUACCUUGAAGGGCCUUGAUAGCUAGUGGUUAUAGCUCUCGGCCGACCUAUAGUGGUCGACUUGGAAUACCAUUUAUUGUACAUGCUCAGGUUAUUCACUUCGAUUUAUUUGUUCUUUGGGGUUGAUCUUUUGACGCUUUCCCCCGUAUCUAUCUUCCCACUUCUUAUUACAUUUUCAAUCAUCUCAUCGGACAUUACUAUAUCUGAGAAGCUCAUGAUUGCGCUUUCUAACAUAUGGUUAAUGAAUGGGGCUUUUAGAGUGUUGAUGAAAAGCAUCAUGGUUUCUUUCUCCAGAAGAGGUGGCUGGACUUGUGUCACUACCUCUCUCCAUCUUUGGGCAUAUUGGCUGAAGCUCUCGCUUUGCUUCUUUUCCAUAUUCUGUAGAGUAAUUCUAUCAGGUGUCAUGUCUAUUACAUGGUCGUAUUACUUCAUGAAAGUCUGGGCCAAGUCCUUCCAUGAGUGGAUGUUAGCAUGGCUCAGUUGGUUGUACCAUUUGGCAGCUGACCCGAUCAGACUAUUUUAGAAGCAGUGAAUUAACAGUUGAUCAUUAUUAACAUAUCUUGUCAUUCUUCGCCAGAACAUCGUGAUGUGAGCUUUAGGACAACUAGUCCUAUUAUACUUUUCAAAUUCUGGAGUCUUGAAUUUCGGUAGGAGUACUAGAUCUGGGACCAAACUCAGAUCCUUGGCAUGAACCCCGCAAUGGUAAUCAGCAUUUUCCAUUGCUCUGAAUUUUUCCUCUAACCACCUGUACCGACCUUCGAGUUAUUUUGGCAGUUCCACCCUUGCUUUUUCUAUUUUUUCCAUUUUGUCUAGAUCAGGAACUACAAGAUGGGUUGGAUUGUUCCUCAGAUUGAAACCUGAGCCUAUCGGGUAGUUCAUUGGAGUUGAGGUACUGGUUUGAUAUUGUUUGGGUCUUGUAGUAACGGACGCCCUUUGUAGAUACGCGUAUGGUUGAGCUUGGAUUCUUAUUGGGGUAAAACCUGGGGGAUAGAUGAGGGUCUCAUUAUCAUCCUCAGAGUUGAUCACUGAGCUUUUCCCUUUAUCAUUCCCUCCAGCAAAUAACUGCUCCAAUUGGUUCAUCAUAGUUGUAAUAGCCAAUUUUGGAUGUCCCGAUACAGAAAAUAUAAAAACCAAAUAAUAAAAAUACAAAAUCCAUUUACAUAGCCCAAUUACAAUAAAAACCAAACUCAUUUACAGUGACCCAGUACAAACCCAAAGUCAGAUAUAUCUAGCCCAACUACACCUAGCCCAAAUACCUAGCCCAAUACAACUAUCAACCCAACCUUAGCCCAAAACAAAAAAAGAAACAGAAAACCCUAGCAGCAACAGCCUUCAUUCCAGCGCCGCAACCACCAAUGCCUUCCCCGCGUGUGUUGUGUCACGUCCACCACCUCUGUAGGCCAGCUAACCUCUGUACCUGCAAAGAAGACGAAAACAACGCAACAGAGAGAAUUUUUUGUAUUUUUUAAUUUUAUUUCGAAUAUUCGACUAUAAAGAAACAAAAGGCCACUGUAAUUUUUUUUACAGAUAUUGAAUACAAAAGAAAACCAAAAAAAUAUUCAGAGAAAAAAAUAUAUAAAGUACGAAAGGUGAUUGCAGAUUUAUUUUUUUCUUUCUUUUUGUUCUUUUUUUUUUCUAUCUGAUGAAUCAUGUGCAAAAUGAAAGAAAAGAUGAAUAAAAGGAGGAAAAGCAUACUUGAUGGCCAACUUUCCUUCUACUCCGUCACAAUCGAAGUCGGAUGGAAGUUAAAGGGCCUUUGGUUGGCCUAGGCAUGGAGCGGCACGGAGAGAAGUCAUUAGGUUUUUAGGUUUUCUUUUAGUUAUUUUUUUUAAAUGAUUGAUGGCUAUUAGUUUUAGAUUUAUUUUAGCUUAUAUACUAUGAAAGAAACAACACCGUUUUAAGCAUGACUCAGUGGCUUUAAAAAUUACACCGUUUGGAAGCUCAGACCCGUGCAGUGACCCGACUCGAGGCAGGAUCGCACGUUUUGGCUCAAUGGCCUAUUUGCGCUAUAAGCCCCCUUUGUAUUUUAGGAUUUGAAUACCUAGAUCUGUGCGUUUAUCUGCUGUUUUAGUCCCUCAGCUUUUAACCAAAUACAACUUUAUUCCUUUUUAUUUGUGUUUGCUACUUGUUUAACAUUGUUUUAUUUCAAUUUAAUUUUAAACUCCAUUAUUUAUUUUAUUUUGUUUUCUUUUUCAUUUAAUUUUGUUUUGAUUUUAGCUAAGCUCUUACUAGAUUAAUUUUAAGUUUAAAAUAGUUCUUAUUGUGACAAAUUUAGUUCUUAUUUCUAAUAUGGUUUUAAUAUUUCAAAUUAAUAUUGUUUUCAAUUUAUCAUAUAUUGAUUUUUUAAAUCUAUUAUAUUCUUUUAUUUUCAAACUUGACUUGUUAUUAUUUAAUUCAUUAUUGGUUAUUCCAUAUAUAUUUUAUGAAAUUUUGAUAUGAUUUGUGUAGGUUUUUUUUUUUUGAUGUUUUUAUUAUGUUUUAAAAUUCAUCUUUUGAAUAUUUUAUAGAUAUUAUAUUUACAUGAUAAUAUUUUUCAUAUAAUAUUAUUAUUUUUUCAUAUAUAGCUUAUUAAACUAUUCAUUUCUAAAAUAUUUAUUGUUGCUUUAAUAUUAUUUUGAAAUCUUUUAAAAAUGGUGUUUCAUCAAAGCAAUAAAGUCAUUUUAUUUCGUAAAUUUUCAAAAAUGCUAGUGUUCACGAUUCUCGAGAAGAUUGAGCCCUAACUUACUGGGCUUUAAUUUUUUCGAUGAAUUUAGAUAGCCAAGUAUUCCUUUUGCAAUAAAACCGUACAAAUUUUAAAUAAUGUUUUUCGAGAUUUCAAAAUGUCGGAUCCUAACUCACUAGAUAUGACAUUUUGCCAACUCAAAUUAAAGAUUUUAAAAAAAUAAAGGCAAUAUUCAGUAUUUAGGAAUUUUGGAAAAUUGAGCCCUAACUUACUGGGUUUUAAUUUUUCAUUUGACCCAAAUAACCAGAUUUCCCUCUCAAAAUGAAUAGGUUUCUCAAAAGUCAAAAGAUAAACUAAAAUUUGAAGAUUAAAAAUAUUGCGCCCUAACUCACUGGGUGUGACGUCUUAUUUCUUUGAAAUAAGAGUGUCUUAUCAUUUAAUUCAAUUUAUUUAAAGUUAAAAGGAUCCUACUUUAAAAUAUUUUCAAAUUUUUGACACUAAGACAUUAAACAAUCAUUUUGGUACCAAUAUUGGGCGUUACGAGGGUGCUAACCCUUCCUCCCGCGUAACCGACUCCCGAACCUAUUUUCUCAAAAUUUUAUGGACCAAAAUCGUUUUAAGAUGAGCCAAUCAUACCUCAAUAAAGGAUCGGUGGUGACUCUAAUUUUCAUUUUUAAUGUCGACAACAAUUUUUUGUUUUCAAAAAUUUGUUUCGAUAGCUUGGCGACUUCACUUGGGAAACUAGAGAGUCAAUCCGUAAAAUUGAUUGUUUUUUGUCUUAUUAUGGAAAUUUGAAAUUUUGAUUUGAAAAAGACGAUCCUUUCACUGCAUCUAUUUGUGGUAUGAUUACUGUAAAUUGAGUUUUAUAUCUUGGCAUCAUAUUGCAUAAAGACUGUUUAGUCUUACCCUUUUUAAGAGGGAGUGAGAAGCUACUCCUUCGUGAGGUUUUCACCUCCGUACAGGAUAGUGGAUCGCUUUCGGGAUACAUCUGUACCUAUGUCUUCGUGAGAUCUUCAUCUCUGUGCAGCCAUAGAGAAAUGUAUUCCCCUGAAUUGAACUUGGUCCACAUGAGCCUAUAAUGGGCGAGGAUCAAGGAAUCUGCUGCUUUGGGUACCUUUGCCUUAGAAGCCAAACCACGUAUAGUGAACCUUAGAACUUGCCCUAGAUAGAACUAUGCCAAACCCCUAGAGGUCACUCGAAUAGGUACUCUAUUUAUUCUCUUGUUUGUUUUUACUCUGUACUAACUUGUUUUUGUUGCGUUUUUAUUAUGAUUCCAUUGCAUUUGCAUCUUAGAAAAGAGGUGUUGAUUUAAGUUUGGUUACAAAAUUAGAGAGCUUGUCAUAGAAAAUGAACUUUUUGAUAAAGUGUAGGAUAAUAUGUCUGCCUGGAUAUAUUCCGAGAAGCACAAGAAGGGUGAUGGAAGAAUACAUGACUUUACUUCGUGGCUCGAGGAUUCAGACUGAUUAUUCAAGAGUUUUCGACAUUUCAACUUCCUUAAAGAAGGUGAUGAGCAUUACGAGGAUGGGUAAACGAUGGAUCAUAACCAGGAUCAAGCAAAAAGGAGAUAGAUGAGACACCCUUUUUGAAGAAUUCGCAAGGUUUAUCUUAUCAUCCAGAUGAAGAAAGAGAAGAUGUAUUCACCUGGAGUAUGAGGGCAAAGCCGUAUAUAUAUCCGCUUUAUGUAAAGAAAUUUAUCCUCUAGUAAAGUUUUCUAAAUGUAAUUGAAUCCGAAUCAACAUCUCUUCAGGCAUUCAUUUCAUGCGUUUGCAUUACAUGACAUCAUAUGCAUUAAAAUCCACUAAAAGAGUCUAAUAGAUUAAAAUUAUUUCAGCUAACCUGGAAACUGACAAAAACUUACCAACCAAACACUGUUACGAUACCCGAGAAAAAACUAAAGAAAUGGACCAAAGGUUGGAGAGAUUAGAGUAGAUGCAAAUACAGAUGCUACAGCAAUUGACCAAAUACAGAGAUUAGAGCAUAUGAAAGAUCAGAUGCUAGAAUUCCAAGCAAAUCUGAUGAGCCAGUUAACUCAGUUAUUGGCUGGGGGGCUGGAAAAAGGAAAAACACCUAGUGGUCCAUUUUGGGGAAGAUAAGGAAGACCCUGCACAUCCCCUAGGUUUUACCCCGAUAAGUGUCCAGGUCUAGCUAGAUGCGCGUCCACAAAGAGUACCCCUUACUAUCCGACCCUAACAAUAUCAGACCAGUACUUGAACACCAGUGAAUUGCCUGACAGCCCCGGAUCCAAUCUGGGGACAAUUUAGCUAAUCCUAUUGCUCUUGAUAAUCUAGUAGAAGUAAAACAGGCAAGGGCAGAGUACCCAGAUACUAUAAAGGCCCCAAGGAAGAAGGGGAAUAGUGGGAUAAUACAGGCAGAUAUAACAAGGGUCACUCAAAACCAAUCACUGUGGGCCGGCCAAAAACAGAAACCACCAGCCAUCUGAGCCCUUUAAAGUGAGAAACUUACACGAAGACAAAUACAUAAAUGCCUCAGUUCACGCCUAUACCGAUGUCAUAUAGCGAGCUAUAUCAAAGCCUAUUUAAUGCACAUGUGGUGCCCCCCUUCAAAUUGAAACCAAUGUUGCCUCCAUUUCCUAAAUGGUAUGUUGCAAACGUGCAAUGUAAUUAUCAUGCGAGAAUUAUGGGGCAUUCAAUAGAAAAUUGCACUGCCUUCAAAAAGCUAGUUGAAAGAUUCAUCAAUAUGGGUAUUGUCAAGUUUGAUGACUCAUCUAAUUCAAAAAAUUCGCUACCCAAUCAUAUUGAUAAUAGGGUGAAUGUGAUUUAUGAAGAAGUGUUGGGAAACAUUCACAUCAAUGCCAAAUAUGAAAACACAAUUGAUAAGGAACCUUGUUAGAUAUCCACCCUUAUAAACUUGGGAGUGUUCUAAAUAAUCAGAUUGUAGAAGAAAUCUCUGUAGUAUCUAAAGCUUACUUAGAGUAAUGUUUAGAACACACUUGUUACUUUUAGCCUAGAGGCAAUAAGAACUCCUUGUGAAAUAGACUCAUGUCUGAACGUCAUUAUUUUAAUGAAAUAUAUUCUUGAGAUCAUUUUUGAGCCAAUAUUCUUUCAAUUUUUUCGAAAAGUAUUUUUUAUUUCAUUCUUUUAGAUUUUCUUCCACAUCAUUCAUUCAUUCAUUCAUAACCAUAUUGUACAAAUAAGUAUUCAUAAAUUUAUACAUUCUUUGUAUAUUCUUUUGUAUCUACAUUAGGUCCCUAGAUAUCAAUGACAUGAGUGACGCUACUACAGACUCAGAAUCUCCUUUUGAGCGAGACAUGUGUUUAGAGGGAUCUCAUGACUUUGAAGAUGACAUAGCCGGACUUGUUGAGGAUGGUAGAACAGGAAGAGAAACAAAUUUUACCCCAUGAGAAGAAAAUAGAGAUUGUGACCUUGGAGGAGAGAAAAGUAGUAAAAAGUAGAACAUGCAUAACAGAAGAAACGAAGUGAGACCUUGUUGAGUUACUUCAAGAGUACAAAGAUGUCUUCGCAUGGUCAUACUAGGACAUGCCCGGGUUAAGCACUAACAUUGUAAUCUGAACAAUAGCACGACAUCAGAAAUUUGCAGUGCAUUUAAGAUUAGCAUGAUGAACGAUGCAGUUAGAAUUCUUUAUCAGGGCAAUGCCUUCUUCUUUGGCUUAUCAUAGUUUUGCCCAUUGAAGUAAAGUUGCCAUUUCUCUUCAUUUUUUGUUGGAUUUCAUCCUAAUUGAAGAGGAAGAUCCAAAGUUUUUUGUCAUAGUUAAGUUUCGCCCCAAAAGGCUCUAUGAGAGAAACCUGAUACCAAAGAAGAUCUUUCGCAUACAAAAUGAAAGUGGAAGAUCUUAUGAGGAAGACUUUAUCUGGAAUAACAUCGAUUCUGAUCGAAAGGGAUGACCGGGACUUGCCUAAUCCUAUGAGUGCAUAUUCAAAAAAAAAGAAAGAACAAAAAUAAAAACAAAAAACUCUAUCGGGGCAACGCCUUUCUCUUUAGUUUAUCACGAUUUUUCCAUUGAAGUCGACAUUCUUUCUCUCCGGGUAUUGGCUGAGCUAAAAUAGGAUGAAGUAGAAUAGAUCCAAUUUCGAUAUGAUCAGUCGAACCUGAUAAAAGGAAAAAGGCUAAAAGUUAUUUAUCACGAUCAGAUGUACUAGAAACGGACAAUGCGAUCCUAUAACAAAAGGUUCGUCAUAGAGAAUUUCACGAGGAGGACCUGAUGUUGAAGAAAAUUCUCCCUCUACAAAAAGAUUUUAGAGGGAAAUAGAUGUCAAAUUGGGAGGGACUUUAUGUCGUCAAAAAGACCUUUUUCGGAGGAGCUUUGAUUUUGAGCGAGAUGGAUGGAAAUCCUGCUAAAUCUUAUAAACUCAGAUUCAGUCAAGAAAUAUUUUGCCUAAAAGGAGAAGAGACCAAGGUGAAAACCCGCAAAGGGCGCUUUGAGUAAAAAAAAUGGUGAAAACCCCCAAGGGGCACUUUGGGUCCAAAAAAUAAAAAAAUAAAAAACGAAAAGAAAAUGGAGAGGCCAAGGUGAAAACCCGCAAAGAGCGCCUUGAGACCAAAGGGGAUUUGAGUUAAAAACCUGAAAAGGGUGGCUCAAAUAUUGAUUAGAAUGGGGCAUGAGGUGAUCAGAACAAUUCGAAUAUUGAUCAGAUUGGGGCAUGUGGUGAUCUUAUUAUACCUGAAUCAACAGGAAAGGGUAGGCAACAUCUUGUGGCAUCCACUGAGUACUGUAGAUCUCCUAAACACAUGUCAAACUCAGAAUGGUCUUCAAAAAGUUUGCACAGAGAAGUUCAAGCUGCGAUAUCUAAGUCACCUAGUCUUCAUACUAUUUAUAUUGAAUUUGUUGUUCUUGGAAUACUUCAUUCUUUUUCAAGAUACAUGUUCCUAAUUAAUUCCUCCUUUAUUCUUAUUAUCCUUGAUAAUGUAUUCACUUUGAGCUAUGCUCUCAAAUCAAUUCUAUUUUAUCCAUCGUUAUGUUCUUUUUACAAGCAUGUUGCAUUAGAUUAAUGAUAAUGGACUAAUAAAACUUUCACAAAGGAAGUUUUGCAUAUUACCCUGGAAGUUUCUAAAUAAUACAGGAACCCAAAACAGGACCAUUGUUUGGAACACACCAGGUUUAAAGGUUAAAAUAUCUAAGAAGGAAAAGUCUAAAUUAAGACUGUCCCUUCGGAUUUUGUUGUCAAAGCAUUGAUUGAACAAAAUGAUAAGAUGUCGUGUUGGUGACAAAGCGUCAAUGAAUAAACAAGCAAUGAUCACCGAGGGAUAAAAAGAGGUUUUCUUGGAGAAGAAAGUUUUACAAUUGUGCAAAAACAUUUGGUGACAUCCUGGGAAUGGUGUAAGGGACCAAAGAGAUGCAAAUCCUGUAUCCUUGAAUUGUAGUAGGAAAGGAUUGAGAAAGAGCCCGAUCUUAUACUCAGUGGGAGGCAGAUCGUUCAAAUUUUAUACCCCAAAGUUACAGUGGAUUGAGACCUGAAGAUUACAGUGAGGUCAAUCUGAUUAAGUGUUUCUUUGGAGAUGCCAGCCGAGCAAGAAGGCGUUGUAGCACAUCAAUGAUAAAACCUUAAUAAACUUCGAGCAAUGACAACCUAAGAGAUAAAGAAAGAGCAUUCUUGAAAAAUGACAUUUUGCAUUCAUACAAACAUUAGUCAUACGCGUCUAAUUAGGAGCAUUGGAUUCAUUUUGAUCAUGUCAUCCUAAUCACUAAACAUAACUAGGUUCAUAAAGUGGAUUAUAUAGGUCAUGUUCCUUAGAGAACAGAUCGGUGAAACCACAAAUCCUAUCUACUUGGGCAGCAGUGGAAUAGGUUGAAGAUAGGUAGUCCUAUCUCCUUGGACAGCAGUGGAAUAGGUUGAAGAUUGUAAGUCCUAUCUCCCUGGACAACAGUGGAAUAGGUUGAAGAUUGUAGAUCCUAUCUCCCUAAGCAGUAGUGGAGCAAGUCAAAGACGGUGAAUCUUAUAUUCCCAAGGUAGUAGGGAAGCAGAUUUAAGCCGCCAGUCUUAUCUCCCUCAGCAGCAGUGGAGUAGGUUAAAACCACAGAUCCUAUCUCCCUGAAGUCACAGUAGAGCGGAUUAAAAUCAUAGAUCUCAUCUCUAUGAAUUACAGUAGAGCAGGUUGCACCAAACUUAUCUUUAAAGUUACAGCAGAACAAGUUGAACCUACAAGUCUUAUCUCCCUGAAAUUGCAGUGGAGCAGACUAAAGAUAACAAAUUUUGUUCUUUUGAGAAGCUACAAGGUACAAAUCCUAUCUCCCUGACGUUGCAGUGGAAUGGAUCGAAGCACCAAUUCCUAUACCUCUGAAGAUGCAGUGGGAUAGAAUGAAGCUACUUAAAGAAGAAGAACACCAAGGUUCAGCACGACCGGGCGACAUUGACCAUUUUAAAGUCUUUGCUCUGUUCCCGUUACAUGACAACAAGCAAAGAGGGGCAGCUGUAAUAGCCAAUUUUGGAUGGCCCGAUAUAGAUAAUAUAAAAACCAAAUAAUAAAAAUACAAAAUCCAUUUACAUAGCCCAAUUUCAAUAAAAACCAAACCCAUUUACAGUGACCCAGUACAAACCCAAAGUUAGAUACAUCUAGCCCAACUACACCUAGCCCAAAUACCUAGCCUAAUACAACUAUCAACCCAACCCUAGCCCCAAAAAAAAAAAAGAAUUAGAAAACCCUAGCAGCAACAGCCCUCCUUCUAGUGCCACAGCCACCAGGGCCUUCCCCGCGUGUGCUGUGCCAUGUUCACCACCUUCGUACGUCAGCUUGCCUCUGUACCUGUAAAGAAGACGAAAAUAACGCAGCAGAGAGAAUUUUUUGUAUUUUCUUUUAUUUUAUUUUGAAUAUUCAGCUAUAAAGAAACAGAAGGCCAUUGUAAUUUUUUUUCAGAUAUUGAAUACAAAAGAAAACCAAAAAAAUAUUCAGAGAAAAAAAAAGAAAAAGUUCGAAAGGUGAUUGCAAAUUAUUAUUUUAUUUCUUUAGGUUCUUUUUCUUCUAUCUGAUGAUUCACUUGCAAAAUGAAAGAAAAGAUGAAUAAAAGGAGGAAAAGCAUACCUGGCUGACUUUCCUUCUACUCCGUCACAAUCAGAGUCGGAUGGAAGUUAAAGGGCCUUUUGUUGGCCUGGGCAUGAAGCAGCGCAGAGAGAAGUCAUUAGGUUUUAGGUUUUCUUUUAGUUAUUUUUUUUAAAUGAUUGAUGGCUAUUAGUUUUAGAUUUAUUUUAGCUUAUAUACUGUGAAAGAAACGACUUUUAAGCAUGCCUCAGUAGCUUUAAAAAUGACGCUGUUUGGAAGCUCAGACCCCCACGGUGACCCGACCCGGGCAGGAUCCGCGCGUUUUGGCUCAAUGGCCUAUUUGCGCUAUAAGCCCCUCUGUAUUUUAGGAUUUGAAUACCCAGAUCUUUGCGUUUAUUUGCUAUUUAAGUCCCUCAAUUUUUAACCAAAUACAACUUCAGUCCUUUUUAUUUGUGUUUGCUGCUUGUUUAACAUUGUUUUAUUACAAUUUAAUUUUCAUUCCGUUAUUUAUUUUAUUUUGUUUUGUUUUUCUUUGAAUUUUGUUUUGAUUUUAGCUAAGCUCUUAUUAGUUUAAUUUUAAGUUUAAAAUAGUUCUUAUUGUGACAAAUUUAGUUCUUAUUUCUAAUAUGGUUUUAUUAUUUCAAAUUGAUAUUGUUUUAAAUUUAUCAUAUAUUGAUUUUUUAAAUCUAUUAUAUUCUUUUAUUUUCGAACUUGACUUGUUAUUAUUUAAUUCAUUAUUGGUUAUUCUAUAUAUAUUUUAUGAAAUUUUGAUAUGAUUUGUGUAGGUUUUUUGAUGUUUUUAUUAUGUUUUAAAAUUCAUCUUUUGAAUAUUUUAUAGAUAUUAUAUUUACAUGAUAAUAUUUUUCAUAUAAUAUUAUUAUUCUUUCAUAUAUAGCUUAUUAAACUAUUCAUUUCUAAAAUAUAUAUUGUUGCUUUAAUAUUAUUUUGAAAUCUUUUAAAAAUGGCGUUUCAUCAAAGCAAUAAAGUCAUUUUAUUUCGUAAAUUUUCAAAAAUGCUCAGUGUUCACAAUUCUCAAGAAGAUUGUGCCCUAACUUACUGGGCUUCAAUUUUUUUCAAUGAAUUUAGAUAGCCAAGUAUUCCUUUUGCAAUAAAACUGUACAAAUUUUAAAUAAAGUUUUUCGAGAUUUCAGAAUGUCGGAUCCUAACUCACUAGAUAUGACAUUUUGCCACCUCGAAUUAAAGAUUUUAAAAAAAUAAAGGCAAUAUUCAGUAUUUAGGAAUUUUGGGAAAUUGAGCCCUAACUUACUGGGUUUUGUGUUUUCAUUUGACCCAAAUAACCAGAUAUCCUUCUCAAAAUGUAUAGGUUUCGCAAAAGUCAAAAGAUAAACUUAAUUUUGAAGAUUAAAAAUAUUGCGCCCUAACUCACUGGGUGUGACAUUUUAUUUCUUUGAAAUAAGAGUGUCAUAUCAUUUAAUUCAAUUUAUUUAAAGUUAAAAGAUCGUACUUUAAAAUAUUUUCAAAUUUUCGACACUAAGACAUUAAACAAUCAGUUCGGUACCAAUAUUGGGUGUUACGAGGGUGCUAACCCUUCCUGGGGCGUAACCGACCUGGAACCUAUUUUCUUAAAAUUUCGUAGACCAAAAUUGUUUUAAGGUGAACCAAUCACACUUCAAUAAAGUAUCGGUGGCAACUCUAAUUUUCGUUUUUAAAGUCAACAAAAAUUUUUUGAUUUCAAAAAAGUGGUUUCAACAAUAGUUCUUUGGGAUUCUAAGAUGUCUUGUUGGAUUUUAUCUAGCCGUUCCUGCAUCUGAUCUUGCAUCUCCUUUUGUAGUUGUUCCAAUCUUUCUAACAUCUGAUCCAUUGCUUUUGUUUUGCGACGAGUACCGUAGUGAUAUUUAGUUGGUGGAUUUUUGUUGGUUUCCAGGGUAACUGAAAUAGUUUUACCUAAUUAGGGUCCUUUUGUGAAAAUAUAAUGCAUAUGAUGCAAUGUAAUGUAGAUGCAUGGAAGCAAUGCAAAAAGAAAGAGAGGCAUUGAUUUUGAAUUCAAUUCCAUUAGAAAAAGUUUUCUAGAAAACAAAUUUCUCUACAUAAAACAGAUUACAUAUGCGGCUUUGCCCUCAUAUUCUAGGAAAAGACAUCGAUCUUUAUCUUCAUAUACGGAUGCUAGGAUCAAAUCUUGCGAAUUUUCUAAAAUCUAUCUCUACUGUCUCCUUUUUGUUUGAUUUGAGCCACGACCCAUUGCUCACCCCGCGAUGCUCUUUAGUUUCUUUGAGACGUGACAGCUCUGGAAUAAUCUUUGUCGGUUUGAAUCCUCAAACAAUGAACUAUAGUCAUAUAUUCCUCCACGAACUUCUAGCCUUCUCUCAUUGUGUUUAAUCAGACCAUAUUUGGGCAGUCGCAUUAUAUUUCACUUUAUCAAAAAAUUCAUUUUCCAUAACAAGAUUUUCUAUUUAGCAAUCAAAUUUGAAUCAAAACCUUUUUUCUAUGAUGAAAAUGCAAAGCAAUCAUAACCAAAACAAAACGAAAGAGGUUAGUACAAAGCAAAAGCAAGAAAGAAAUAAACAAAUAGAGCACCUAUUCGGGUGACCACUAGGGGUUUGGCGUGGUUCUACCUAGGUAGCCUCUAAGGCUCAUUACAUGCGGUUUGGUUCUAAAGUAAAGGUACCCGAACUGGCAGAUUCCUCAAUCCUCACCCAUUAUAGGCUCAUAUGGACCGAGUUCAGUUCAGGGGAAUACAUUUCCCUAUGGCUAUGCGGAGAUGAAAAUCUCACGAAGACAUAUGUACAGAUGUAUCCCGAAAGCGAUUCACUAUCCCAUGCAGAGGUGAAAACCUCACGAAGGUGUAGUUUCUCACUCCCACUUAGAAGGGUAAGAUCGAUCGAUCAUGCGAUGUAAUGUGCAGAAAGAUACCAAAGCUUAAACCAACACAGCAAUUAUAAACCACAAUAAAGUUCGUAACAAAGACGGAUGAAAAGCAACAAAAGGAUCGUAUAUUUGAAACAAGUUUUCAAUUUUUGACAAAAGACAAAAAGCAAUCAGCUCGUGGCUUGGCUCUCGUGUUUGUCCCCAGUGGAGUCGCCAAGCUGUCGAAACCACUUUUUUUAAAAAAGGUCAACUUUGAUUUAAAAACGAAACGGAAAUGGAGUCGCCACCAAUCCUUUUUAUCUAGGUGUGAUCAGAUCAUCUCAUAACUUAAUCAUUUUAAUAAAAGUUUAAAUUUACUAAAACGAUAAUUUUUUGUCUACAAAAUCAAGAAAAAGGGUUCUGGUUACGCACGAGGAAGGAGUAGCACCCUCGAUACGCCCAAAAUUGGUACCUAGUCGAUUACUUAAUGUCUUGAUGUCAAAAAUUAAAACUCAAAAAGAAUUUAAAAAUAUGAUCCCUCUUUACAUUGUGUUAUUUAAAAUUACUCGAAUAAAUUAAAAUGUAAAAUGCCUCCUUAUCUCGAAAUAACAAAAUGUCACAUCCAGUGAGUUAGGACAUGACACCUCGUAUUUUUUAGAGUAAGCUUGCCUUUUAUUUUUAUUUAAACCUCAUUUGUUUUAAUUUUAAAAGGAUAUUCGGUUAUUUAGGUUCAACGCUAGAAAAAUCAAAAUCUAGUAAAUUAGGGCACGACUUUUCAAAUUUUUAAAUACGAAAUAUUGCCUUAUUUUCAAAAUUUUAAUUUUUUACGAAUUUAGGUAAAAGGGAAACGAAACGCUUGAAGGUUGCACGUUUAAUUCAUUACGUUUUCAAAUAAAUCGUUUAAUACAUAAAAAGGAGUUGUACAUGACAAAUAAUGAUGAUACAACACAUCUCUAUAAUCAUGACGUAACAUGCAUAAUAAAAUACACAUAUAGCCUUGAUAUCGAUGAACCCUAAUAUUAACAUGCAUGAAUAAGAAUAAUGAUACAAAUGACAAUACCAAUUUUUAAAUAUAAUAAAGAAAAAGAAAUGAAUAAAUAUAUAUGUAAAUAAACAUAGAGGAAAAUAGUAUAUAUGAUAUUGAAAAUAAAGGACUUAAUUAAAAUAUAAAUGAAAUUUUGGAUGCAAUUUGUAAUAAAAUACAUUAAUAAAUUAUAAUAAUAGACAUAAUAAUAAAUAUAGUAAAAGAAAAACAAAAAAAUGUAUAAAUAUAAAUAAAUAAAUAAAUACAAAAAAAAUAAAAGAUUGAAAGUAAAGGACAAAAUCAGAAUCUAAGCAAAAUUUAAAGUAAAAGUCAUAACAAAAUAAAUAGAUUAAGUAAUAAAAUAAAGUAAAGGACUAAAAUCAAAUGCGCUAAAACAAGCGAGGACUAAAUAAGAAAUUAGCCCCAUCCCAGGACACGUGUCCUUUCCCCAGCAAAUCAACGAACUGGGGACUAAAUUAAAGCACGAAAAAAAUCAGUGGCCAAAUUUUAAAAAACCAAAAAGGUAACAGAGGACUAAAUUGAAGCGCAUCGCAAAAGCGGAAGGGCUGAUUGCGCAAAUAACCCGGCGCUAGAAAACACGCGGAUCCCCCUGGAGCGGGUUCGGUCGCACGCGGGUUGGCCUUAAACGGCGUCGUUUUUGCGCCUGGGUCCCUAAUCCAAAAUGGCGCCGUUUUACUUCUUUAUUUAAGUCAGAUUUUUUUCUCAAAACUUCAUUUUUUUUCUUCUUUCUCAAAAAAAAACCAUCAAAACUCUCUCAAUCCCUCUCCUUUUCUCCGGCCAAUUGGGCGCCAUCCGUCCGUCAUGGCCGCCGGCGGACGAUGGCGGUGACCACCGUGUACGGCGGCCGGGGUUAAAAAAGAGGUCAUUUCAACCGUUUUGACCUCCCUAAGCCCAUUUUGAAGCCGAAACUUCCAAUAACCAAACGAGGACACACAGACAAAUGAAGGACUUCUCGACUUCGGGCCACCAUUCAUCGGAGGUGGCUACCUCGGACAUCCUGACGGUGGAGCGCAACCCUCAGGUACGCUCCUUUUUGCCUUUUUCUUUUUAUUUUAUGCCUUUUUAUUAAAAUAGAUUUGUAAAAAAAAUAAAUAAAUAAAAAGAAAAAAGAAAACGAAGAGAAACUAAGAAAAGAUCUAAAUCAACACCUUUGUUAAACUUCUGUUCUGCUUUUUUUGAUUUACUAGUGUGUGUAAAAAAAGAGAAAAUAUAUAAUGAAAUCGUUUUGGCUUUUAUAGCCAAAUUACAAAACUCCUCAUUUCUAUUUUUUUGUCGUCUUGCUAUUGUCUCUACUAUCGUUUGCGUGUUCAUCUUUCUUUGUAGGAGAUUGCAGAGGCUGGUGAUGGCGGCAAAGGAGGGUCAGACGCGUGGAGGGGAGCGGCUGCGGCAACAAGGUCAGAAGACCUAGGUGCGGCGCACCUAGGGUUAGGGGGAUUAGGGUUUUCUGAUAAUUCUUAAGUUUUUGGGCUUAUCGGGCCUUUAGGUUUAUUUUUUAUUGGGCAUUUGGGCUUGUAAUUUUUUGGACUAUGGACUGUUUAAUUUUUUUGGGGGUUUUAUUUAUUUAGUUUUGGGCCCGGGCAAAAAUGGGCUUGUACAUUAAUAAUAUAUAAAUCUUAAAUAAAUAUUUAAAUCACAUAUUCUUCCACCCUCCAUUGUUAUAAUAAUGUUUUGC
rnacentral:lncRNA from 1 species